CAAAAAAAAAAAGGAAGAAAGCUCCCUCACUCUCUCGCUCUCUCGGACUUGGGCAGAAGAAAAAAAAAACAAAGAAAAAGAAAAAACUCUCGCCUCACCCUCGGCUCUCCUCUCUCCCAGUAUUUCCACAACACCUUUACAGACAACAAAAGGGAGGCAGUGACUGGUUGGGCUAUUGGAGCUUGGCAAUCUCAUCAAAAACUUUGGCCAAGGGACUAAGCUCUUGAUUGAGGUAUUUCUUGUCUUUUUUUUCCAACUUUUCUUUUUUUUUUUUUAAUUAACUAGAUUAAAUGUAUGUGUGAUUUCUUGUGUGUUGUUUUAUUUUGCUGGUUUUGCUGUUAUUGUAUCGGUGAAAUUUUGGCAAGGUCAUAAACCACAUUAAGGAAAAAAGAAUGGUUUUUGAAUAUGCAUGUUAACUGUUUGAAAAAAUGCCAAAAUGGAAAAGAAAAGAAUUUUAGGGUGUUGUUUUGUUUUAUUUUAGCCUUUUUAUGUUGUUUUCUUGUCAAAAUAAAAUCAUAUUUGUAGUGUAGAAGUUAUAAGGAGGGUUUUGGCAUAAUUUUUAUGAUUUUUGGUGGAGGUUUAAAGGUUUUAAAAAAAAUAAAAACUGGACUGAUUUCUUGGCUUUUUGGCCACUUUAGGAUCAAUUUUUGUUAAAAUUAAGCCCGGAAAUGGAAUCUACGCGAAAAAUCGAGUGAGGGAGUGUAUUUUGAGAAAUUUUGGUGACCGGAGAUGCGGCCGGUGACCGGCGGUCCAAAUUCUGUAAGGACUCAAGUACAAGUUAUAAAUUCAAGUAAUCUUCCGCAAUUUUGUUGUUAAUUUAUUUUUUAAUAAUCACCAUAAAAAUUUUAGAUUUGCUAGAUGAUAAUUUUCAUCAAAGUCAAUAUAAACAACCACUAACAUCAGAUUCACAGCUUGGGACUAGAUUUGUUGGCUAAAGCAAGCAGAGACAGUGACCACUUUGAUUGAAAUAGUUGGAAUGAAAAUUAGCCCAUGUUUGGUGAGAGCCAAAUUUUUGUGUCGAGCAACUAGCUAAAAUAGGGCUGAACCAGCAUGGUUGACAACUUUCUAUGAAUCUCCAAACUGCUAAAGAAACUUGAGUAAUGAUGUAGCAAAAAUAACUACCCACACUAAAAAGAUGUUUCUUUUUGUAAAUUCUAAUUUUUGUAAUUUUGAAAUUUGGACAAGGAUAUGAGUUUGGGAUGCUAGCAUUCCUCUCUUGUUGUAAUCGAUUUCUUAGUCAUUUCUUGCAAUUUAUUGUGCUAUCUUUUUUUAUUAUUUUUUUAAAAGGAAAGGAAAGCAUAACGAUAGCAUAUAUAGUAUAUACACGAUAGAAAGUAUCAACGUUCAAACUCCGAAGCAUCAGGAAGAUCCCAUACCCCCUACUAUUCCAUACCCAAUACCCUAAACUCAUUUCCUAUUUUCUCCUAAACUCUCACCCUCCUCUAGGCCCUAACUUUUUUAGACACAAACGAGAUUUGGGUCUUAGAAGCCAUUGCCAGGAGGCGUUUUACAGAUGGCUUAUUUCAGCAAUUCGAUUUGUAUUUCUUCAGAAAUUCAACAUUCACCUGCUAAGUCCGAUUGGUCUGCUUCAGAUGGAUAACAGUCUUGAUAUCUACCUAGGAUGCAAUCACGACCUCGAAAAAACUCAGCAGACUGGCGUGUUUCUCGUCAACGUCUUCCUUGGCAUCGAGAUAGGUCUCAUGAGCCGUCUUGGCAGCUUUCUUGGCGGCCCGAUAAGCCCGCAGAACCCUUGAUCAUAGCGGGAGAGAAGGUGCUACCUUUUUGAACAUUGAUUACAAA
rnacentral:lncRNA from 1 species